rnacentral:rRNA from 1 species
UACGGAGGGAGCUAGCGUUGUUCGGAAAUACUGGGCGUAAAGCGCACGUAGGCGGCGCAGCAAGUCAGGGGUGAAAUCCCGGGGCUCAACCCCGGAACUGCCCUUGAAACUGCAGUGCUGGAAUCUUGGAGAGGCGAGUGGAAUUCCGAGUGUAGAGGUGAAAUUCGUAGAUAUUCGGAAGAACACCAGUGGCGAAGGCGACUCGCUGGACAAGUAUUGACGCUGAGGUGCGAAAGCGUGGGGAGCAAACAGG